GUAAGGAAUAUUGGGCAAUGGACGAAAGUCUGACCCAGCCAUGCCGCGUGAAGGAUGAAGGUCCUCUGGAUUGUAAACUUCUUUUAUCUGGGGCGAAAACCUCCCUUUCUAGGGGGCUUGACAGUACCAGAAGAAUAAGCACCGGCUAACUCCGUGCCAGCAGCCGCGGUAAUACGGAGGGUGCAAGCGUUAUCCGGAUUCACUGGGUUUAAAGGGUGCGUAGGCGGGCAGGUAAGUCAGUGGUGAAAUCCCCGAGCUUAACUCGGGAACUGCCGUUGAUACUAUCUGUCUUGAAUACCGUGGAGGUGAGCGGAAUAUGUCAUGUAGCGGUGAAAUGCUUAGAUAUGACAUAGAACACCAAUUGCGAAGGCAGCUCGCUACACGGUCAUUGACGCUGAGGCACGAAAGCGUGGGGAUCAAACAGGAUUAGAAACCCCUGUAGUCC
rnacentral:rRNA from 1 species